rnacentral:rRNA from 1 species
UGAGAGUCCUGAAGGAACGUUGAAGAUGACGACGUUGAUAGGCCGGGUGUGUAAGCGCAGCGAUGCGUUGAGCUAACCGGUACUAAUGAACCGUGAGGCUUAACCUU